rnacentral:rRNA from 1 species
GUCGAGAAUCUUCCCCAAUGGGCGAAAGCCUGAGGGAGCGACGCCGCGUGAGGGAUGAAGGCCCUUUGGGUUGUAAACCUCUGUUAGGGGGAAAGAAAAGCAGUGGAAGCAAUAUGUCCAUUGCCUGACGUUACCCCCAGAGAAAGCUCCGGCCAACUCCGUGCCAGCAGCCGCGGUAAUACGGGGGGAGCAAGCGUUGUCCGGAAUCAUUGGGCGUAAAGGGCGUGUAGGCGGCUUGGCAAGUCGAAUGGGAAAUCCCACGGCUCAACCGUGGAACUGCGUUCGAAACUGCCUUGCUUGAGUGCGGGAGAGGUGUGCGGAAUUCCUGGUGUAGCGGUGGAAUGCGUAGAUAUCAGGAAGAACACCGGUGGCGAAGGCGGCACACUGGCCCAGCACUGACGCUGAGGCGCGAAAGCGUGGGGAGCGAACGGGAUUAGAAACCCGAGUAGUCC